GGAUUUCUAAUUUUGUUUCUGUAUGAUUUCUAGUUGUGAAUUAAUUUUGGCAACUAGAAAUCAUACAGAGACAAAAUUAGAAAUCC
rfam:Loxodonta africana unplaced genomic scaffold scaffold_29, whole genome shotgun sequence.